rnacentral:rRNA from 1 species
CUACGGGAGGCUGCAGUAAGGAAUAUUGGUCAAUGGACGAAAGUCUGAACCAGCCAUGCCGCGUGCAGGAUGACAGCCCUAUGGGUCGUAAACUGCUUUUAUAUAGGAAGAAACCUCUCCACGUGUGGAGAGCUGACGGUACUAUACGAAUAAGGAUCGGCUAACUCCGUGCCAGCAGCCGCGGUAAUACGGAGGAUCCAAGCGUUAUCCGGAUUUAUUGGGUUUAAAGGGUGCGCAGGCGGACUAAUUAGUCAGUGGUGAAAUCUCUCGGCUCAACCGAGAAGCUGCCAUUGAUACUGUUAGUCUUGAGUGUGGUUGUGGUAGGCGGAAUAUAGCAUGUAGUGGUGAAAUGCUUAGAUAUGCUAUAGAACACCGAUCGCGAAGGCAGCUUACCAAGCCAUUACUGACGCUCAGGCACGAAAGCGUGGGGAGCAAACAGGAUUAGAUACCCUCGUAGUC